rnacentral:hammerhead_ribozyme from 1 species
AUGCAGCUAAUGAGUGUCAAAUAGGACGAAACGCGUGUCUUGGAU